UACGUAGGGGGCAAGCGUUAUCCGGAAUUACUGGGUGUAAAGGGAGCGUAGACGGUUAAGUAAGUCUGGAGUGAAAGGCCGGGGCCCAACCCCGGGACUGCUCUGGAAACUAUUGAACUUGAGUGCAGGAGAGGUAAGCGGAAUUCCUGGUGUAGCGGUGAAAUGCGUAGAUAUCAGGAGGAACACCAGUGGCGGAGGCGACUUUCUGGACUGUAACUGACGCUGAGGCACGAAAGUGUGGGGAGCAAACAGG
rnacentral:rRNA from 1 species